rnacentral:lncRNA from 1 species
UGUGUGGUGUGUGUAAGAAAGCAUCAUCAAGUACUCUUCUAAGGUUAGCUAGGCGACCAAUCAAUCUAUCACUUCAUUGUUAAUCUAAUGCUUAUCCAGUUUCUUUGUCUCCUUCACGAGAUCCUUCCAUAAUGUAGAUUCUCACCCUUCAUCAAUGGAUACGCUUUGUAGAAUCUCUUGCAAUAGACUCCCAAAUUCCCUGCUUUGCAUAUCA